AUUAUACCUGCUGUUAGCAUUUAGCUCAAAGCGCCACUUUGCCCUGCUAGCACCAAGACUCGAGCCGUCUGCAAGAACUGAUUUGACAUUAAAUAAGUGCAUUUUUGUGCGUCGUCAUUUUUUUCCAAGUAUCUAAUUGUAUUUUUCUUCUUUUUGUGCGUGUUUUUGUGUGGUGAAUAUUUUGAAUUUUGUGCUGCUGUUGUCUUGUUUAAUGCAAGACAGAGUCAAAUUCUAUUUUCUUCCAGUGACGUUUGUGAGCCUUUAACUGAAGAGGCGACAAGAAGUUCUUUAAGCUCGAAGCGGAACUUUUUCCGAUCACUUUGUUUUAAUGGCUGCAGCGUACAACAACGGCCUGACGUGCAGCUGUCAGAUACCUGCUAAAUACUGGCCGAUCACAGCGCUGUCUUAUAAUCAGUCACCCAAACUCCUGCCCCGGGGCUAAAAGUCAAAGGAUCGCCGAGACCUGAUGUAACACUUGUGAUUCUCCCCUUUGAAACUUCAGUUUGUGAACAAAGUCCUGUCUAUCUUCUGAAUAGGAAUCUCCGACCACUGACCAAACUCCAUUUGCAACCACAGCCUAUUUGUACCUUCUCCUCAAUGACUACAUUUCAUUUUACCCAGGUCCGAUCUCAAAGGCAGGCGGCGCGGAAGGCGACGUGGUAAAGAGAACUAAAUGACAGAAACCAGCAGCUGGGAGGAAAAGACAAUCGCGGGGCGUCCUGGAAGAGUAAUUGUGAUGUGGAAUCUACGCCGUCCGGGGACUUAUUUUGUUUCUUUUCUAAGGGAGCACCAGCCCAGAGGGAAUUGUGAGUGUUUGUAAAGCACCAUCCAGGAGCGUGAUGAUGUUGAUAAGAGUAAAACAGAAGGAGACAAUGUGCCUGCUGCAGCAUAUUCGAGGCUGCUGCUGCGCUCUCCUGCAGUAGAUGAGGGGAGAUAGCCGUGUGAAAAAGACCGACGCGAAUGGCGAUGACAUUUCCAGCCUCGAUCUGUGGCGAAUCCAGCGGAGCGCCAGGGAGCUCGGAUCCACCAAAGAGGAGGAAAAAGCCCCCAGCUGCCACAUUCACACGUUCUUUCCAACGUUGAUUCAAACAAAGGGAGGUGUAAAAUGUGGAGGUUUGGCGCAGGUUGCUGGAGUGUGAGAAGGCUGUUGUUGGUGCAAGGUAAGGCCGCUGUUGCCGCUGUUAUCUUAUUGAUUUUCCUAAUCUGGGCAAAUGUGGGUGGGGAGGUUAAACAGUAACCAGGCUCGUAUGGACACCAAUCUAUAUAGCAGCUGUAACUGAGGCAACAUGAUGAUAGAAACUCAAAUACACAUUAAGUUAUUACACGCUUUUCCGCUCUCUCCCAUCACCAAACAGAAAUGUCUCCAUACAGUUUGGGAAAUGAGUAUGAUCACUUAAAAUUAAACUGAGUGUAUGAAUAAAGGAAAGGGAAAGGCUGAAGGGUGGAGAGGCAAAAAGAAAAGAUGGCGGAGUGGAGAAGGUACAGAAGGUGGCAGCAUACAAACGGGGUAUGAGUGACGUCACCCGUUCUGUUUUUGACUGAGGGGGGAAUAUUACUGCUGAGCGGUAGGAUGUAUAAUUAGUCCUGAGUCACCUGUGGAUGAAAGACAUGAGGUCUAAUUUAUUUUAAAAUGUGAUUUCCUCAGUCUCACAGGUCAAAGGAAAAUUCACUUCACAAAUGCAAGAUUUGCACCUUCAUCACUCAUUAAUUAGCGCGUGUUAAUGCACAAUUUGACUGAUUUCUAUAACGACAUGUUCUGGUCUUUUUUGACAGUAUGUGACAAGAUGAGCAGCCACUUUCAGCCACUUUCCAUUUUCUGAAGAGCUCUGGGCAUAAAUAGUUUCUACAUAAAAUAUUUGCUCUUAGUGGCUGUCCGUGUGUGUGUGUUUGUGUGUGUCUGUCUGUGUGUGUGUGUAUGAAUUGGUUGGUAGGCACAGCUGAUCUGCUCAUAUUUAACACCAUAAAAGCUGCAUUAGUCUCCUGUUUUAUGGCACAAAGAUUUAAUGAGGUGAAAUGCAGGACUGAGAAACACAAAAAAGUGAACAGGCCAAAGUAGCAAACAGACAUUUGUUUAAAAUAUAUGGAGGGGUAUACAGGGUCAUUAGUUAUUUAAAUAAAUACAUUUCAGUCAGGCAAACACAUUGACUGAUGGAAUUGAUGGACACUUUGUUUAAAAAAAAUUGAACCAAAAACACAUCCAAAUGUGUUUCUGUGAGCUGUACAAGAAAAGUGCAUCAUUUUUAGCUUUCUGUGUCAAAAUUGAUUUAAAAUAAAAAUCUCUCCAUAUAAUAUUAGGAAAAAAUGAACCGAGCGACAAUUUUGUUUAAGAUUUAAGAGUUUAAACAUACUGUAUAGCUGCAUCGCGUUCUUAUGAUGACUUUUGUGUUUAAAGCUGUCGUGUUGCGUUGGUAUCUGGUCAGUCGUUGGGGUUUUCUCGUUGGGGAGCACAACUCCCACACAGUUCCCCCCCCCCUGAAACACAAGUUAACAUAUUAUUAGUCAUAAAGGCAUUGAUUUGCUUCUAUGUAUUUUUUACUUUGGGACCAAUAUAAUUUAAGUGAUAAGACUGGCACCAUUUGUGUAUUUUGCUUGUAAGUACACAACCCUAAUGUGGAUUCAUUCAUUUCCUCCAACAGCUUGUUAUUGUUUGUUUUGGCAAAUAUUACUCAAACGUGAGUAAAUCUGUUGUAACUAUUUUCCACAUUUCCCCCAUUAUCCUGAAAUAUCUCCGUUUAUUGCUUUAGUGGGUAUUUGAUACAUGCAGGAUAUAUAUAUAUCAUGCUCAUGAUUUUUUAAUAGGUUUUGGAUAUAAAUAGAGAUCCAUGGUACAGGGCAAAUAUAUGUCAGACUUUAGUUUAGACAUACCAUUAUUCAGUUGAAUUUAUAAUCAAUAAUGAUAUUCAUGUGUUUGAUGAGAUUUGUUGACAAAGAAAUCUGUAUCAUCUGACUUGUAUGUUGAGAAAAAGAAAAAAUAUAUAAAGAAAGGCAUGAAUCAUUGACUGUUUUCAAGUGGUCUGUUAAGGUCCCCAAAUAUUUGCAACAUUAAAAUGUUUAUAUCUGUUUACGUUCUGUCUGGGACCGUGGUUUCAUUGCACUGUUGUAGUCUCUUGUGUUGAGGACAGAUUGUUCCAUAAAACUUGACACCGUGACCCCCCUGACUUACAACCACAUGCCACACCACAAAACUCUGUCUGAGCAAACACGACCCAGGAAGGACUGACUGACUGAAACUAAAUCUCAUACUAUCUCUGAAAUAUUAAAAAUGUUCAAAAUAUCCUGAAAGAUGCACUUUAAUGUUUGUCAAGGGUCCAUUUUUCAUUAACCCUAAUGGGGCAGCUAAUACAUAAAAUUCUUGUAAGAAUUAUUUUUAACUUAGUGCUGACUGAUAACUGACUUUGACACUCAUAACCUUUUGACAAUUUUAGUUGCUGUGGAAGAAAAUAAAUCACCACCAAAAUAACAACAAACAUGACACGGCCUAUAGGACACAAUGUUUGUCUGCUGGAUGAUCUGAACAUAGAACAUUUCUUGAACAUGAGAUA